rnacentral:rRNA from 1 species
AUUGAACGCUGGCGGCAUGCCUUANACAUGCAAGUCGAACGGCAGGCACGGGAGCAAUCCUGGUGGCGAGUGGCGAACGGGUGAGUAAUAUAUCGGAACGUGCCCAGUCGUGGGGGAUAACGUAGCGAAAGCUACGCUAAUACCGCAUACGAUCUAUGGAUGAAAGCGGGGGAUCGCAAGACCUCGCGCGAUUGGAGCGGCCGAUAUCAGGUUAGGUAGUUGGUGAGGUAAAGGCUCACCAAGCCGACGAUCUGUAGCUGGUCUGAGAGGACGACCAGCCACACUGGGACUGAGACACGGCCCAGACUCCUACGGGAGGCAGCAGUGGGGAAUUUUGGACAAUGGGCGCAAGCCUGAUCCAGCAAUGCCGCGUGCAGGAUGAAGGCCUUCGGGUUGUAAACUGCUUUUGUACGGAACGAAACGGUGAGCUCUAAUACAGUUUGCUAAUGACGGUACCGUAAGAAUAAGCACCGGCUAACUACGUG